rnacentral:lncRNA from 1 species
CGUCCGGGAUCACGACCUUCUGCCGGGACCGACCCGUGUGCCGCGAGGAACCCGACUAAGGGGGCAACCCUCCUAGGUCUAGGGGACCUGCUGGUGACCGAGCCCGAGCAAAAGUUAGGGCUGGCCCGUCCUGCGGUGCACCGAUCGACUCGGACAGAAUACGUGACACAGCUGCAGCGUGCUGUGCAGUGCAACCGUGUGGGCUGUGUCAAGUUGGGAGGCACCCUUACCUCACCGCAGCGCGUCAUCAUCCAGCAGCCAAGCGGUGUACUGCAAUAACACCUGCAGAGACAACAGUCCCAAUACUGGAGAUGCGAUGUUGCCACCUUCUUCGGUCACAGUGACAGUUGCCCCGAGCUUCGCAAGCAGGUCGCGGCCCAGCAGCUUCACCGGACAGCGGUUACUAAGGAGAAACGAACGGUUAGUCACAGAAAUGUCUUCUGUCACUCC